ACUUUGCAUCAAGAACGCAAUGCGUACCAACCGACAUACUCGAUGCACGGUGGUUUAGAAUGCGGAGAAUAACUCUCAAAUUUUCGAGUAAUC
rnacentral:ncRNA from 10 species